UACAGAGACCUCAAGCGUUAUCCGGAAUCAUUGGGCGUAAAGCGUACCGAUAGGUGGUUUAGAAAGUCAGAAGUGAAAUCUCUCAGCUUAACUGGGAGACUGUCUUUUGAAACUUCUAAACUAGAGGGGCAAAGAGGAAGCUGGAACGAACGGUGUAGUAGUGAAAUGCGUUGAUAUCGUUCGGAACACCAAUAGCGUAGGCAGGCUUCUGGGUGCCACCUGACACUGCUAGGACGAAAGCGUGGGGAGCGAACGGG
rnacentral:rRNA from 1 species